rnacentral:rRNA from 1 species
GACGAACGCUGGCGGCGUGCUUAACACAUGCAAGUCGAACGGAAAGGCCCUGCUUUUGUGGGGUGCUCGAGUGGCGAACGGGUGAGUAACACGUGAGUAACCUGCCCUUGACUUUGGGAUAACUUCAGGAAACUGGGGCUAAUACCGGAUAGGAGCUCCUGCUGCAUGGUGGGGGUUGGAAAGUUUCGGCGGUUGGGGAUGGACUCGCGGCUUAUCAGCUUGUUGGUGGGGUAGUGGCUUACCAAGGCUUUGACGGGUAGCCGGCCUGAGAGGGUGACCGGCCACAUUGGGACUGAGAUACGGCCCGGACUCCUACGGGAGGCAGCAGUGGGGAAUAUUGCACAAGGGGCGGAAGCCUGAUGCAGCAACGCCGCGUGCGGGAUGACGGCCUUCGGGUUGUAAACCGCUUUCGCCUGUGACGAAGCGUGAGUGACGGUAAUGGGUAAAGAAGCACCGGCUAACUACGUG